GACGAACGCUGGCGGCGUGCUUAACACAUGCAAGUCGAACGGAAAGGCCCUGCUUUUGUGGGGUGCUCGAGUGGCGAACGGGUGAGUAACACGUGAGUAACCUGCCCUUGACUUUGGGAUAACUUCAGGAAACUGGGGCUAAUACCGGAUAGGAGCUCCUGCUGCAUGGUGGGGGUUGGAAAGUUUCGGCGGUUGGGGAUGGACUCGCGGCUUAUCAGCUUGUUGGUUGGGUAGUGGCUUACCAAGGCUUUGACGGGUAGCCGGCCUGAGAGGGUGACCGGCAACAUUGGGACUGAGAUACGGCCCAGACUCCUACGGGAGGCAGCAGUGGGGAAUAUUGCACAAUGGGCGGAAGCCUGAUGCAGCAACGCCGCGUGCGGGAUGACGGCCUUAGGGUUGUAAACCGCUUUCGCCUGUGACGAAGCGUGAGUGACGGUAAUGGGUAAAGAAGCACCGGCUAACUACGUG
rnacentral:rRNA from 1 species